CCAUAUCACAUUGAAACACGGGUUCACGUAUGAUCAUCAAAGUUAAGCAAAGUCAAGCCUGGUCAGUAUCUAAACGGGUGACUGCUUGGGAAUACCAGGUGCUGUAAG